CCUACGGGCGGCAGCAGUGGGGAAUAUUGCACAAUGGGCGCAAGCCUGAUGCAGCGACGCCGCGUGGGGGAUGACGGCCUUCGGGUUGUAAACUCCUUUCGCUUAUGACGAAGCUGCCCUUUUUUUUGGGGGUGGUGACGGUAGUUUGAGAAGAAGCACCGGCUAACUACGUGCCAGCAGCCGCGGUAAUACGUAGGGUGCGAGCGUUGUCCGGAAUUACUGGGCGUAAAGAGCUCGUAGGUGGUUUGUUGCGUCGUCUGUGAAAUUCCGGGGCUUAACUUCGGGGUGGCAGGCGAUACGGGCAUAACUGGAGUGCUGUAGGGGAGACUGGAAUUCCUGGUGUAGCGGUGGAAUGCGCAGAUAUCAGGAGGAACACCGAUGGCGAAGGCAGGUCUCUGGGCAGUAACUGACGCUGAGGAGCGAAAGCAUGGGGAGCGA
rnacentral:rRNA from 1 species